rnacentral:lncRNA from 1 species
AUUCAGGAGAGCAGAAACGUCACGUGUAUCUGGGCAGACGUGAAACAAACAGGAAGUCACAAACUGUCACAGGAGGAUAUUUGCUCUCAGGGUUUUGCACAUUUGAUUUUAUUGUUGUUUUUAUGACUUUUUAUUUCCUGUUUCCCCUCGCGCCUGUGGCAGAGUUUAUCCACUGAGCCCGGAGGCACGAGAGGAGCGGGUGUAAGGCCAGGGAGAACCGGCUGGAUGGUCCGGACCAGGCAGGAGCAGCGUCUGCAUCAAAUCUGCUCAAAGACUUUCAGACUGAAACUGCAGCCGCCGUCCUAAACGUGGAGCUGUUCCAACUCUGUUCACAUGGAAUAACUUUACUGAACCAGAGAGUCUGUGUCUGCCAUGGAAAAGGCUCAGAAACGAGCUCGUCCUCUCACAGCAAACGAGUCAGGCUGAAGCUGCUCCUGCUCCCACAAACCAUCCAGGUGCACUUGAUGAAGCCCUUAAAUACCAAGGCGUUGGAAGCCAGGCUGGAGAAAGUGACUUUGUGUCCGCUCUUUAGUCGCUGCUGCGCCUCGGACGAUCUGCAAAUGUCAGAGCAAGAGAAACAAACCUGUAGAGAAAAUAAGUUCCAUUUGCACAAUGACAGAACGCUAACAGGAAGUGACCGUUUUUCGGGGUUCGUGAAAAAGGUCUAUUUAAUGUUUUGAACAGCAUAAAACUGAUUAUACGCCCCAUAGUCUUAAGUGUUUUAGCUUAUGUUUAUCUUAACUCUGUGUUAUAUGUUUUAUGUCGCACGUUUGCACUGAGAAAAAUUCCUAGUUUGUGAACCUGUUCUCAAACCAUGGCAAUAAAACCUAUUCUGAUUCUGAUUCUGAAAUCAGACGAACAAAAAUACAUUCACACGUUGAGUGACGACACGCCCCCCUGGAGGGCAAAAGGAAAGCGCAUGCCAAAGUGCUACAAUAAUUAGCUAACAACGUUUGACAACGCAGCACAACAAAACAAUCCAGUAAUCAGUAUGGCGAACACAUGGAGCAUUAUCGGCAGCACAAACAGGCGAAGGAAAGAGUGAUAUCACCACUUCAAAACCGUGGGAGCAAAAAUAUUACGAUUGAAUUUGCUCUGUUCACUUCAUUGGAGGUAAGUAAAUGAAGAGGUAGCCUAAUUUUGUUUGUGUGAAUGUGUUUAUGUAAUUUUGUCAUGUAUUUACAUCAUACCAUUGUGCAAACCUAAUACUAAUCUGAAGCUAACAAAUUAGCAAAGACUUUGAUGCUUGUAUUUAUUGUCAAACCUUUUAAACGAUGCAUUAUAUAUCACAUAUUACAUUAUACCGGUUUAUUUCCUUUUAAUAAGUCCAUGCUGGGCAUUGGUGGAGCUUUGGGACUACAACAUGUGUAAUAGCUUUGUGAUUCUUUUCAGGUAAACCAUGUGACGAUCCUGGAAGUCCGAGCUACAGUCCCUCCAUAUUCAGCUUCACAUCACAGGCCGAACAGUCCAGACGUGUUGAAGAUCGAUAUGAACGGCUUAGAAAACGUCAAACACCUGUUGAGUCCAUAAAUGAAGAUGUGCAGCAGAUGCACUUCUGUCACCGAGGUCAAAUCUGAC